AUUCUGCCCAUGCGGGGAAGGAUGAGAAGCUUCGACCAAGGUUCGACUCGAGCGCCAGCGAGAGAGCGUUGCCGCAGGCAACGACCCGAAGGGCGAAGCGCGCAGCGCUGAGUAAUCCUUCCCCCACNNNNN
rnacentral:sRNA from 1 species